rnacentral:tRNA from 1 species
UCCCUAGUAGCUCAGAUGGUAAAGCAUUUGCCUGUAGUGCAGGAGACCUGGGUUCAAUUCCUGGGUUGGAAA